UCUGACCACGUGAGGGAAGUUUAAUUC
rnacentral:piRNA from 1 species